rnacentral:rRNA from 1 species
GGUGAGGAUGAUGUCAAGUCAGCAUGUACCUUUAUAUCCAGGGCUACACACACGCUACAAUGGUCUGUACAAUGGGUAGCCAAGCCGCGAGGCGGAGCCAAUCCUGAAAGCAGGCCUCAGUUCAGAUUGCAGUCUGCAACUCGACUGCAUGAAGCCGGAGUUGCUAGUAACCGCAGGUCAGCAAUACUGCGGUGAAUACGUUCCCGGGUCUU